rnacentral:rRNA from 1 species
AUUGAACGCUGGCGGCAGGCCUAACACAUGCAAGUCGAACGAGUGGCGGACGGGUGAGUAAUGUCUGGGAAACUGCCCGAUGGAGGGGGAUAACUACUGGAAACGGUCGCUAAUACCGCAUACCAUCGGAUGUGCCCAGAUGGGAUGAGCUAGUAGGGGGGGUAACGGCUCACCUGGGCGACGAUCCCUAGCUGGGCCGAGAGGAGGACCAGCGACAAUGGAACUGAGACACGGUCCAGACUCCUACGGUAGGCAGCAGUGGGGAAUAUUGCAAGAUGGGCGCAAGCCUGAGGCAGCCAUGCCGCGUGUAUGAAGAAGGCCUUCGGGUUGUAAAGGACUUUCAGCGAGGAGGCGUUACUCGCAGAAGAAGCACCGGCUAACUCCGGGCCAGCAGCCGCGGUAAUUC